GCAAGUCGAGGGGUAUAUGGGUGCUUGCACUUAUAGAGACCGGCGCACGGGUGAGUAACGCGUAUACAACUUGCCUUACACUGAGGGAUAGCUCGGAGAUAUUUGGAUUAAUAAAUCAUGGUAUCAUUUUAAGGCAUCUUAGAAUGAUUAAAGAUUUAUCGGUGUAAGAUGGGUAUGCGUCCUAUUAGCUAGAUGGUGAGGUAACGGCUCACCAAGGCGAUGAUAGGUAGGGGUCCUGAGAGGGAGAUC
rnacentral:rRNA from 1 species